rnacentral:rRNA from 1 species
ACUCCUACGGGAGGCAGCAGUGGGGAAUCUUGCGCAAUGGCCGAAAGGCUGACGCAGCGACGCCGCGUGUGGGAGGAAGCUCUUCGGGGUGUAAACCACUGUUGCCCGGGACGAACGAGCGAUUUCGAUCGCUGUGACGGUACCGGGUGAGGAAGCACCGGCUAACUCUGUGCCAGCAGCCGCGGUAAUACAGAGGGUGCGAGCGUUGUCCGGAAUCACUGGGCGUAAAGGGCGCGUAGGCGGCUCGGUAAGGUUGCGGUGAAAGCCCGGGGCUCAACCCCGGGUCGGCCGUGGCAACUGCUGGGCUGGAGCACUGUAGAGGCAGGUGGAAUUCCGGGUGUAGCGGUGGAAUGCGUAGAGAUCCGGAAGAACACCGGUGGCGAAGGCGGCCUGCUGGGCAGUAGCUGACGCUGAUGCGCGACAGCGUGGGGAGCAAACAGGAUUAGAUACCCUGGUAGUCCACGCCGUAAA